rnacentral:lncRNA from 1 species
ACAUCGUGUCCCAGGAUCCUACAGCAAAUAAAUGAUAAAGCAAACAACACAUGAGCUAUUAGAAAAUCAAUGCAAAACUAGAAAAUAAGAAGUAAAUCCCAUCUCCAGGAGAUAAUUUGGCAGCUGGAUGGGAAUCAUCAUUGCUUCAUGGCACAAUGGCGUACAAAGAUGUUAACUCCAAGCCUUUCAAUUUCAGAAGUCCUGGUCCAGAUGUAAGACAGAAAAGUUUUAACAAAAUGGGUGAUUAGAUAGAUCUCCUGUGUUUCCAGCAGCCAUCCCAACCCUUAGUCUGCUAUCCCCAUGCCAUUAUCCAGAUUUAAAGACUUGAGAUGAGAGAGAAGAGAGUAGAACAGAUUAGAAAACAAGAUGUUCAUAGGACUUUUAAGAGGUCUCUUACUGAACCCUCACAUUGACUAGCUCCAAAUUAAGGCAUUGAUAGGACUCACAUAAACCUUUGAGAUGUAAGAAUGUAAAGGACCAGAAAAUUGUCUGAAUCAAAAAGGUCCACUGAAUAGUAAGUUUAUUUAAAAAAAAAAAGUCUACAUAUAAACACCUCAUACAUGAAAUGGUCAAAGUGAGAAUCCUAAAAGCCCCAAAUCAGCAAUGAUCACCUUCAAAGUGACAAGGAUGGGGAUGGCACCAUAAUGGAGAGAUAAAGUGGAAGCCAGGCAGCUUUCGAAUAGUAGCUUUAUUUAUUUAUUUAUUAUUUUUAAUUUCAAUAGGUUUUUGGGGAACAGGUGGUGUUUGGUUACAUGAUAAGUUCUUUAGCGGUGAUUUCUGAGAUUUUGGGGCACCCAUCAUCCAAGCGGUGUAUACUAUACCCAACGUGUAGCCUUUUAUCUCCUGCCACCCCCCACCCUUUCGCCCGAGUCCCCAAAGUCCAGUGGAUCGUUCUUGUGCCUUUGCAUCCUCAUAACUCCCACAUAUGACUGAAAACAUCAGUGUUUGGUUUUCCAUUCCUGAGUUACUUCACUUAGAAUAAUAGUCUCCAAUUCCAUCCAGGUUGCUGUGAAUGCCAUUAUUUCAUUCCUUUUUAUGGCUCGGUAGUAUGGAACACUAGCUUUAAAGUGCAAAGGAAAACAACUUUCAACCUGGAAUUCUGUACCCAGCUAACCAACCAUUAAGGGGUGCAGAGUUUUAUGGCCUUGGACUUUGUCCCUUCAUAUUUGACAGCGAUGUUGACCAUGAUCACUGAUACAAGCAAACCCUUAACAUCUCCUGAUAUUGAAGCAAAUCCUAUCAGCAGGAGAAAGGAAAUGAGUCACUGUGGAGGUGUCCAUUAACUUUUAUAGCCAGUUUGAAAAAACUCUUGUCUUGAGAGCAGCAGGAUUCAUCCCCACUCACUCACCCCACAGUGGGAGACACGUGGCAUGGAACUAACUCUCCUUCUCCACCACUUCAUGAACAACCUAUUAUCUAUUUUCAUGAUAAGCUCUCCAGCUAGAAAGCAUCAGUUGAUUUGCCCAAGAGGCACAAUGGAAGUUCCACUACCAAGAUGUAAAAUAAAAAGCUUUCAUCUCUUAAGGUUUUCAACUCAAACUUAAUUUCCUUCAUGAUUCCUGUCCUAAACCAGCCCCCUCCUCUAUAACAUUUCCCACAGUGUGUGGAAAUUAUUUGCUUAUGGGCCUAAUGUCCUCAAUAAGGUAUCUUUUCUCAAGAACAGAGAUGUGACUUUUCAUAUUUGUCUAUAUGUCUGACACUUCAGUUGUGUUUAAUAAGUGCUCACUAGACAAAUCUCAGUGUAUUGAAAUCCCCAGGAUAGCACUUGACACAUAAUAGGCCCACAAUACAUGUUAGUUUCUUUACUCUAUAUUUUCUUCUAAAGAUUUUCACAGACUAGGUUGAGCUUUUUAUCUCAAUAAUUUAUAUACAUUUUACAGAUGCAUAUGUAGAGGUGUAAAAGGCUAUUAUAAUAGCAGGCACUAUAAUUCUUUUUUAGGGGAAUUGUCUUUGAUAGGGAAAAUACCUUGGUAAGUAAAUUGGGGUGGAAAGUGAGACCCUAAGAAUAUUGAUUAGGAAAAUGCAAGGCAGUAAAACGUACUUAAAUUGUUCUGCUUUUUAGCAAUAAACUUGAAAUUUAAUGGAGGGGAGCAGGAAAAAAGGUGAAGAGAGGGAGAGAAAGGAGACAGCAGAGUAGUAAAGCACUGCAAUGUGUUCCAAAGGGCUUUUAAAAACAUGUCUGUCUAAUAUUAAACUAAAUUUUUGUUUACUCUUUUGUAAAUUGUAAGCGUUCUAAAUUCUGCUAUGUUCACUGAGGCCUUGUAAGAGUGGAGAUUUUGGGUUGCUUUGCUCUUAUUUUUCUAUUAGAAUUUCAAAGUGUUGUGUUUAUUAAAAAGCACAGUAUUAUAUGUAGACCACAAUUUCAUUUUUGUAAAAAAAAUAAGCUGUAUAAGUAUUCACGGGUGUAUUAAUUUGUAUGCAUAGAAAAAUAUGCAAAUCACACUGAUCUGUGAUUAUUCUUGGGGAAUGAGAUGGGAGUGGAAAAAGAGAAGAACUUUGACUUUUUAUGGAAUUUUGUGUUGUUUGAAAAUGCUCACUAGCAUGUUUUAUUUUGUAAUUAGCCAAACAAAUAAAUACAUGAAAUAAUCCCUUUUCCAGCCACCUCACUAGGCUGCUGGGAAGACCAGUUAUGAUAAUCUAUGUGAAAAUUGUUGAAAACUGUAAAGUGCUCUGAAAACUCAGAAGUGCUAUAAACACACAAGGGAUUAUUUAUGUCAUUGAGCAAAAUGACCCAUGACUUUGGUUUCUCAUUUCUUUAUCAUUAAAAUAAGGGAGUUGGACUAGAUGGUUUCUUAAACGCCUGCCAGGUUCACAUUCUCUAUGGUGUAUCUCUGUUCCUUGCUUUUCAAUCACCAAGCUCUCAAAAUCUCAUCCUCCUGCCUUAUGGGCUUCCACAGCAUGUCCUCAGGGCUCACCUGGUCUGUAGCCUUGGGCUUUGUGAGUCCCUG